rnacentral:rRNA from 1 species
GACGAACGCUGGCGGCGUGCUUAACACAUGCAAGUCGAACGGAAAGGCCCUGCUUGCAGGGUACUCGAGUGGCGAACGGGUGAGUAACACGUGGGUGAUCUGCCCUGCACUUCGGGAUAAGCCUGGGAAACUGGGUCUAAUACCGGAUAGGAGCCAUUUUUAGUGUGAUGGUUGGAAAGUUUUUUCGGUGUAGGAUGAGCUCGCGGCCUAUCAGCUUGUUGGUGGGGUAAUGGCCUACCAAGGCGGCGACGGGUAGCCGGCCUGAGGGGGUGGACGGCCACAUUGGGACUGGGAUACGGCCCAGCCCCCUACGGGAGGCCGACGGGGGGAAUUUUGCCAAAGGGGGGCAAGCCGGAGCCAGCGGCGCCGGGGGGGGGAUGACGGCCUUCGGUUUGUAAACCCCUUUCGCAAGGGACGAAGCUUUUUGUGGCGGUCCCAAAAAAAGAAGCACCGGCUAACUACGU